rnacentral:rRNA from 1 species
UACGAAGGGGGCUAGCGUUGCUCGGAAUCACUGGGCGUAAAGCGCACGUAGGCGGCUCUUUAAGUCAGGGGUGAAAUCCUGGAGCUCAACUCCAGAACUGCCUUUGAUACUGAGGAUCUCGAGUCCGGAAGAGGUGAGUGGAACUCCGAGUGUAGAGGUGAAAUUCGUAGAUAUUCGGAAGAACACCAGUGGCGAAGGCGGCUCACUGGUCCGGUACUGACGCUGAGGUGCGAAAGCGUGGGGAGCAAACAGG